CAAGUCGAACGCCCUGCGCAAGCAGGGAGUGGCGGACGGGUGAGUAACACAUGGGUACCUGCCCCGAGGUGAGGAAUACCGGCGAGAAAUCGCCGACAAUACCGCAUACGUUCCUCCGGGAACAAAGCUCGCAAGGGCGCCUUGGGAUGGGCCUGUGGCCGAUUAGCUGGUUGGUGAGGUAAGAGCUCACCAAGGCGACGAUCGGUAGCUGGUCUGAGAGGAUGGUCAGCCACACUGGGAUUGAGAACGGCCCAGACUCCUACGGGGGGCAGCAGUGAGGAAUUUUCGGCAAUGGGCGAAAGCCUGACCGAGCAACGCCGCGUGCAGGAGGACGCUUUUCGGAGUGUAAACUGCUUUUCUUGGGGACGAGCAAGGACGGUACCCAAGGAACAAGCCCCGGCUAACUACGUGCCAGCAGCCGCGGUAAUACGUAGGGGGCGAGCGUUGUCCGGAGUUACUGGGCGUAAAGCGCACGCAGGCGGUUUUGUACGUCUGGAGUGACAGUUCCCGGCUCAACUGGGAAAGGUCUUCGGAAACGGCGAGACUUGAGGGCUUCAGAGGGACACGGAAUUCCGGGUGGAGUGGUGAAAUGCGUAGAGAUCCGGAGGAACACCAAUGGCGAAGGCAGUGUCCUGGGAAGCAUCUGACGCUCAGGUGCGAAAGCUAGGGGAGCGAACAGGAUUAGAUACCCUGGUAGUCCUAGCCGUAAACGAUGACCACUAGGUGUGGGAGGUAUCGACCCCUUCCGUGCCGUCGCAAACGCAGUAAGUGGUCCGCCUGGGGAGUACGGUCGCAAGAUUAAAACUCAAAGGAAUUGACGGGGACCCGCACAAGCAGCGGAGCGUGUGGUUUAAUUC
rnacentral:rRNA from 1 species